UAGGGAAUAUUAGAAAUGGACGAAAGUCUGAUCUAGCGACACCGCGUGUGCGAAGAAGGCCUUCGGGUUGUAAAGCACUUUUUGGAAGGAAUAGGAAGGAAGGUACUUCCAGAAUAAGUCUCGGCUAACUACGUGCCAGCAGCCGCGGUAACACGUAGGAGGCAAACGUUAUCCGGAUUUACUGGGCGUAAAGCGCGUGUAGGUGGUUUUGUAAGUAGGGCGUGAAAGCUCCUGGCUCAACUGGGAGAGGCCGUUCUAAACUACAGAACUAGAGGAUGGUAGAGGGAGGUGGAAUUCCAGGUGUAGCGGUGGAAUGCGCAGAUAUCUGGAGGAACACCGGUGGCGAAGGCGGCCUCCUGGACCAUUCCUGACACUCAGACGCGAAAGCUAGGGUAGCAAACGG
rnacentral:rRNA from 1 species